CACGCCUUAAACGAUGAAUACUAGACGUUGGGGUUAAACUCAGUGUCGCAGCUAACGCAUUAAGUAUUCCACCUGGGGAGUACGAUCGCAAGGUUGAAACUCAAAGGAAUUGACGGGGGC
rnacentral:rRNA from 1 species